UUACGGCCACAUCAUGUUGAAACACCGGUUCCCGUACGAUCAUACAAGUUAACCAACGGCAAGACUGGUCAGUACCUAGAUGGGUGACCUCUUCUGAAAAACUGGUGAUGUAAG